rnacentral:lncRNA from 1 species
AACUUUCAUCAUUCUAUCUACGUAAGCUAUGGUAUCUAAGAGUGCUCCAUGUAGAAAACACGAGCCUGACGAAUUUCUCUAGGGCAAUCAGUGUGUGCAUUCACUUAAGAUAUCUCAUGCUCAGAAAGUGUGGGCAGGUCACGCUCCCUUCUUCAAUUGGACAAUUCCUUCACUUGCAAACUAUAGACCUGAACAACACAGAAUUGAAUUCAGUGGUGCCAAACUCUAUAUGGGACACUACAACUCUAAGGCACGUUUACCUUGAAAGGGGAUUUUCUGCACCGAGGAAUCGACCACAAAAGCAGCUCCAGUCCUUGUACUUAUCUGUCCCAGAUGAGGACAGUAAGUAUUUCCAGAGUAAGAACAUGGUGGCCUUUUUUAGCCAAAUGACCCAACCAACUACUCUCUCCUUGGAUGUUGAAAACCUAUACUACCCGCAAAGAUGAUUCAUAUACUAACAAACUUAGAUGACCUUUCUGGUUGAGGUUUACCUUAAUAAGUUGCCUGAGAGCCGACUCUUACCACAAGGCCUACGGGAGCUUCAUUUGUUUGCUGAUGCCAUUAAAGAAGACCCCAUGCCGAUCCUGGAGAAACUUCCCUGCCUGGUAUUGCUCGAGUCAUCGGGGCCGAACCAUGUUCUGCUCUGCUCAAGGGUUCAAUUCCCUCGGCUGCUAGAGUUGGACCUGUAUUACUUCAACAGUCAGGAGUGGAGAAUGCCUACCGGGGCAAUGCCAAGGCUCUCACGCCUGAAGCUUUAUCGUUGCCGGAACAUGAAGAAGCUCCCAGAGGGGCGCACCUGCCGUCCCUCGAGGUAGGUGACUGGUUUUCCUCCCGUCCUGACCUUAGUUAUCUCUUUCCUCCUAUCAAUCUUUAAA